AUGGGGCGGGGGGUGGGGUGGGAAGAGUGUAGCAGUGAGGACGACGAGAGGUCACUCUCGUCGCCAUUUUGUUUUUGGUGGUUUUUGUCUGGCUUCUUUACCGCAACCUGUUUUAUCAGCAAAGUCUUUAUAACCUGUAUUUUGUGCUGACCUCCUAUCUCAUCCUGUGACUUAGAAUGCCUUAACAACUGUCUGGAAUGCAGCCCGGUAUGCAUGGAAUUCUAUCUCUAUCCCUCCAAGAACUUUGUUUAAAUAAUUUUGCUUAAGAGGAAUGAAAUGUCCUUUUCUGUCAAGCUAUAUGCAGAUAUUCCAGCAGAGGAUCCUGAUACCAAAACGGAUUGCAGAGCCACAGGUUGAAAAUAGCAGAGACUCCAUGGUUCCCUCAAUGAUUGCAUGGAACAAUAACACAUGAUCCCUGUGAUGAUAUUUCAUGAUUCUGAAGAAGAAUUGGAGGUGAGACUUGAGAAAAUGGAGAAAAAGAUAUGCUUUGGAUUUUCUUGAAGACUAGAAGCUUUCUUAACCAUCCACCACCUUGUUGACUGGUUAUUAUUCUCUCUACCUUCUGUGAAACAAACUGAUGGAUACUAAUGGCACAAUUACACUUAUAGCUAGUCAGUUGCAUAGUUUAUGCACAUAGUUCUGCUUCCAGUGUUUAGUAAUGAGUUAAACAUUUUGGCUAUAUUUGUCUCUGAAGCUAUAAUUUCAAUUAAUCAUUAUGUAUAGCAAUAAUAACAAGUAAAACAAAAAGAAGAAUUUUUUGUUUCUAUGGUAAUUAUGUUGGGUGCUUUGGAUCCUCCCAAUAAAGUUGACUUCCUAAAAUAAUUACACUUGAAUUAGGUAUAGAGAAGCUAAUUGUAACAAAUUGAAAGUUACUGUAAAUCUUCUAAUCGUAGUUCUCUGCAAGUGUACUUAAGUUAUUGCUCCACUUGAAAUAAAUGAAAACUGGAAAUCUGAGGUGAUGAAUUAUGGGUCCCUUUUAUGUAAGAAAGAUGACAAGGAAAUCUAAUCUGCUGAGUUAUACUAAAAUAAAAUACCUUGGCCUGGGAUCAAAUAUAGGUGAAAGAAUUAACAUUUAUGUUUUUUAAUUAAGAUAAAAUGUACAAGUUUUAUGUACAUAUUUUAUGAUUUCCUGAUAUAACAAAAAGUGUUGAUAAAAGCACCCAAUACUGAUUCUAAUGACAUUUGAUUAGCAUUAAAGAGUUGCUAUUAU
ensembl:lncRNA LINC00348 long intergenic non-protein coding RNA 348